UUCGCAAUGCCCGAAAGGGUGACGAAGCGACGCCGCGCGUGGGAAGAAGGCCUUCGGGUUGUAAACCACUGUCGGGAGUUAAGAAAUGCAAGGAUAUUAAUAGUGUCUUUGUUUGACUAAGGCUCCGGAGGAAGCCACGGCUAACUCUGUGCCAGCAGCCGCGGUAAUACAGAGGCGGCAAGCGUUGUUCGGAAUUAUUGGGCGUAAAGAGCACGUAGGCGGCUAUGUAAGUCGGUUGUGAAAGCCUUCCGCUCAACGGAAGAACAGCAUCCGAUACUACAUGGCUUGAGUGCGGGAGGGGAGAGUGGAACUUCUGGUGGAGCGGUGAAAUGCGUAGAUAUCAGAAGGAACGCCGGCGGCGAAAGCGGCUCUCUGGCCCAUAACUGACGCUGAGUGUGCGAAAGCUAGGGGAGCAAACGGGAUUAGAUACCCCGGUAGUCCUAGCCGUAAACGAUGGGCACUAAGUAGAGGGGUUUU
rnacentral:rRNA from 1 species